GCUCGUGGCCGGGGGAACGGGAGGAAGGUGGUCCUGAUUCUUCUCCCUCUGCCACCGCUGCAAAGCUGAUCCUGGCCUCCUGCGGAGACGCCCGAGAGCCUUCCCUCAGUCCUGACGCGACCCCUCCCCAGGUAGCUGGGCCUCGGCCUGGUCUAGCGGGUCGCCUUCCUCCCAAGGAGCAGCCGGCGGAGCUGGGGUGCAGGAAAGCGAGGAGGCGACUCAGGAGGAUGCCGCCGCCGCCGCAGCCGCUGCAGGGCCCGGGGUUCCUGUAGGGCACAAGGCCUCCCUCACCAGGGAAACCAGCCCAGGCCAAGAGGAGCCGCGAGCCGUGGGGAGAGUCAAAAAGAGGAGAAGCGCUAGAUCACCGCCCCUCGCACCCGCCCUUAGCCCGGCCUCGGCCUUACGUCGAGGGAGCCUGACCCUCCUCCCACAGCCACUACCGCCGCCUUUUCCCAGUUGAGAAAACCCCUGAUUGCCGCAAGAUAAAAAUUGGACCCGGCCUUUCCUCCCUCUCCGGGGGCCCCUCAGCCACGCCGCUACAGCACCCAGGACUCCGGAUCCUGCACCAAGGAAAGGAUCCAGCUGGGCAGAAAUUCCCCCAUUUCAAGGCUUGGCCCACCAGGCCUUAGUAUUGCCAGAACAGCCACCAGACGCCUAUGCCUGUUCUUCACUAACGCCAGCAGACCCGCAGCCACGGACACCCGGUGGACCUCAGCAAGGAAGCUUUGAGCAACUGCUGCUUGCUUGGUGCUGCACCCACCUCUGCACCCCCAGCUCCAGUCAGCCAGCGGCCAAAGCAAAAGCUGGAUUCCUCAGUUUGUUCCCUCCGAGGCUGCAAAGCCUCUCUGACUAUUCCUACCAUUAAGAGAAAAAAAGAGAUGAUGGGAAAGAUUUGGUCUGCACACAAAGACAUACCAGGAUAAGAAUGCACAUUUCUGUGCAAUAUGGCUCAGGCACCAAGAAUGUGACAUCACUUCGGUGCAGCCUAGAAAUAGUUAAAAAUAACCCAGUGCUAGAGGACAGAAGUGGCUUCUGCUCCACACACCUUACCGGAUCCCUAAUUUCCUGCCACCUCCCAUGGUUCCAGAACACAAACUGCUUUAACCGCCAGAAGAGGGGUUCUCAGCCACCUGGCUCCCACACACCUACCAGUUCCCCAGGCACUCUGUGUGGUCCAGGGCAGCUGGACACCCCCAAUAGAAAACCCCUACCAAAGAAUGCUCAGGGAUGCCCACUUCUAUCCCUUCUCUGCACCACUGACUGUCCCCACCUUUAUCUUCCACAAGAAGGCGGGGUGUAAAUGUCAAAUAAAGAAAAAUAUAGCUUCCCAGGUCUCCUUGCUUUUGGUGGGGACAGAACAGCUCCAGUGCUGGGGCUG